UAACAAAAACAAAAACAAAACAAAACAAAACUAGCAAACAAACAAAACCCCCUCAGAAGCCACCUGCCCGGUGUUCCUGGUGACACAGGACCUGGCGGAGAAGCUGAGGCUGCUCGCUAGGAGGAGGAACUCCUCUGGAAGAAUAUCCUGAGGCUCUCGCGCACACACUGCACUGCCCACCAAGCCUGGCGAAGAGUUCUGCCACUUUUGCUGCUUGGCUGGUGAACAAAGCAGGAUGCCCCUUUGAGCAGCUUCAGGAAUAUGAUGACCCCAGUGCAACCAUACCUAACGUAUUAUCUGAGCUCUGAUCCCUUGGGAAAACUGUAGAUUUUCUUUCUUCAAAAUUAAAGUUGGGUUAUGGAGAGCCUAUAUGCUGUUCUCGGUUGUUUAGUUGAAGAUGCAUUAAAAUAUAUUGGUUUCACCUGGAAAAAAACCAGCAUGCAUGGAGGAGAGGGCCCUGGUCAGAUCCAGCUUUUAUAUCUUCCCCUGGGUAACUGGGCUGGGAAAGCAGACCCCCACAGCAUGACAGAGCUGAGGAACCCAGAGGUUCACACUUCUCACAUACUUCUGCCCAGCUACCUCAGAGGGGAAGGGAGGUGAGCUCAGACCCGUGGUCCAGCUGACAGGUCCUGCUUACCCAGUGACUUUAAGUACCGGUACACCAGAGCGGUGUGUGGGUUCCCACUGGAGAAGCUCAGAUGUGGAUGAGAAACACAAAACCAAGGUCUAGAGCUCGAUCUGGCUGGGGUCGGAUCAACAUCAGAUCUCAGGAUAAGGCUGGACGAGGGCUGGGCGUGGGAUCAGAGCUCAGACCAGGAUCAGGUUCUGUUCGGAAUGAGGACUCAGCUUGAGUUCAGGGCUCAAUCAGAGAUCAGGAUUGGAGUUCAGCCGUGGAUCAGGACGUAGCCUGAAGCCAGGAUGAGGGCUCAGUCUGCAGUCAGGACUUAGUUUGAGGUUGGGGUUGAUCCCCAGGCCACCUCUCAGUCAGCAUCUUGCACCCUAGACUCCAUCUCAGAGACAGCUUUCUGGGAAGCUCAACCUGCGACAGCUGAGUUUGAAGAAGAUGGGCAUGGUGUUUGCUGGAAGAAUGAGGAUCUGGGGCCAUCACCAGGGGAGACCAUCUCAGUCUCCCUGCUGAAAGGAUUGUUAUUUUGGACCAAAGUGGGAGAUCACCUCCGUUGUCUUCAGCCCUCAGUGCCCCUUCUUACUGCUGAACCCUGAGGAAGUGGCUGUCUGCUCUGAACCUCCAGCUGUCCCUCUCACAGGGGACCGGCAUCCAAACCAGGCGUGGGAAGGGAGUCUGAGAGCUGAGGCAGCACGAGGGUCUGCAUCCACUCAUCUGGGUUCUCUCAGCUGUCCCCAUGCUGUGUAGAAUCAUCAGUGAAAUGCCUUCACGGAGGCCUUGGCCACAAGGAUCAUCCAUCAAAGACUGUCCAUGCAUUUGCCUGACCCCUUUUUGAAAAGAUCCACUAUAUAAUUGUUCCCACUUGAGUUUGCUUCAAGGAGGUGUCUCACUGUAUAUGAGCCUGCUUUGUUGCUGUUGCUCAUACUUAAAUGAUGUCAAACACACUCCAAAGAGUCAAGAGGCUCUGACUAGAAAUAAAAUAACAAAGAUUUAUUCAAGGGUCUUACAAUUAGUAAACUAGAAACACAACUCAGAACAUUCAGAGUGUUCUGAAAGGGG